rnacentral:rRNA from 1 species
UUAACGGGANGACCCUUACCUACUCUUGACAUCCAGAGAACUUUCCAGAGAUGGUUUGGUGCCUUCGGGAACUCUGAGACAGGUGCUGCAUGGCUGUCGUCAGCUCGUGUUGUGAAAUGUUGGGUUAAGUCCCGCAACGAGCGCAACCCUUAUCCUUUGUUGCCAGCGGUUAGGCCGGGAACUCAAAGGAGACUGCCAGUGAUAAACUGGAGGAAGGUGGGGAUGACGUCAAGUCAUCAUGGCCCUUACGAGUAGGGCUACACACGUGCUACAAUGGCGCAUACAAAGAGAAGCGACCUCCGAGAGCAAGCGGACCUCAUAAAGUGCGUCGUAGUCCGGAUUGGAGUCUGCAACUCGACUCCAUGAAGUCGGAAUCGCUAGUAAUCCUAGAUCAAAAUGCUACGGUGAAUACCUUCCCGGGUCUUGGACACACCGA